UACGGAGGGGGCUAGCGUUGUUCGGAAUCACUGGGCGUAAAGCGCACGUAGGCGGAUUGUUAAGUCAGGGGUGAAAUCCUGGAGCUCAACUCCAGAACUGCCUUUGAUACUGAGGAUCUUGAGUACGGGAGAGGUGAGUGGAACUGCGAGUGUAGAGGUGAAAUUCGUAGAUAUUCGCAAGAACACCAGUGGCGAAGGCGGCUCACUGGCCCGUAACUGACGCUGAGGCACGAAAGCGUGGGGAGCAAACAGG
rnacentral:rRNA from 1 species